rnacentral:rRNA from 1 species
AGCGAACGCUGGCGGCAGGCCUAACACAUGCAAGUCGAACGGAAGCUCCGGGAUUAGUGGCGGACGGGUGAGUCGCACGUCGGAACGUGCCCUUAGGCUCCGAACACCUCAUGGAAACUUGAGCUAAUACCGGAUGUGUUAUUCUGGUGCAAGAUUUAGCGCCCUUGGUAGGGCCCGCGACUGUUUAGCUAGUUGGUGAGGUAACGGCCCACCAAGGCGACGAUCAGUAGCGGGUCAGAGAGGAUGCUCAGCCACACUGGGACUGAGGCACGGCCCAGACACCUACGGGAGGCAGCAGUGGGGAAUCUUGCGCAAUCGGCGAAAGUCUGACGCGGCCACGCGGUGUGAAUGAUGAAUGUCUUAGGAUUGUAAAAUUCUGUCAGCGGGGACGUGAAUGACGGUUCCCGCAGAAGAAGGUACCGCCAACCUUGUG